CGAUAAGUAAUGUGAAUUGCAGAAUUCAGUGAAUCAUCGAAUCUUUGAACGCACCUUGCGCUCCUUGGUAUUCCUUGGAGCAUGCCUGUUUGAGUAUCAUGAAAUCUUCAAAGUAAAUCUUUUGUUAACUCAAUUGGUUUCUACUUUGGUAUUGGAGGUCUUUGCAGCUUCACACCUGCUCCUCUUUGUUCAUUAGCUGGAUCUCAGUGUUAUGCUUGGUUCCACUCGGCGUGAUAAGUUAUCUAUCGCUGAGGACACUGUAAAAGGUGGCCAAGGUAAAUGCAGAUGAACCGCUUCUAAUAGUCCAUUGACUUGGACAAUACUUUUAUGAUCUGAUCUCAAAUCAGGUAGGACUACCCGCUGAACUUAAGC
rnacentral:misc_RNA from 1 species